rnacentral:rRNA from 1 species
GGAAGUAAAAGUCGUAACAAGGUUUCCGUAGGGUGAACCUGCRRAAGGAUCAUUACCGARRAGGGGGCCCCGCGCUCCGGGGGGUUUCGGCCUCCGACUCUUCACCCUAUGUCUACUUACCUUUGUUGCUUUGGCGGGCCCUGAGGGCUUCGCCUUGCGCCGGCCUCAAGCCUUACGGCCGGGGUURCCGUGCGCCCGUCAGAGGCCCAUUAAAAUCUGUUUAUUAGUGACGUCCGAGCAAACACACAAUAGUCAAAACUUUCAACAACGGAUCUCUUGGUUCUGGCAUCGAUGAAGAACGCAGCGAAAUGCGAAAAGUAAUGUGAAUUGCAGAAUUCAGUGAAUCAUCGAAUCUUUGAACGCACAUUGCGCCCCUCGGUAUUCCGGGGGGCAUGCCUGUUCGAGCGUCAUUACACCCCUCAAGCGUAGCUUGGUAUUGGGUCCUCGCCCCUCGGGCGUGCCCGAAAAGCAGUGGCGGUCCGGUGUGGAUUCAAGCGCAGUAAAUUCAUCAACCGCUUAGGAUGGAAGCCCCGCGGCCGGCCAACAACCAAGCCCAACU